UGCAGGCAGACCGUGUUUAGUGAAAACCAAUUAAAGGAUCAGACCGUCUUCUAACAUUAGAGGCUAGGUAGUCAAUCACAAAAGGCGGCACAGUGCUGCAGCAGCUUUUCGCUUUUUUAUUCGUUAAAUUCUAUCUACAAAAGCAGAUCUUACAUAAAGCAAUCUGGGAACAAUGACUGCAUGGGCAGAUUGAUUGGCUCACACUCAUUGGACUGAAGCAACUCGGUUAAGUUAUUUGAUCCUCCUGUCUAGCCAGACAACUUCUCGAACUACCCUCGAAUUUCGAUUAACAUAGGCCAGUAAUUACCAUUCAAAAUGUAUCUUUAAAUUAGCCACCUUCUCCGUAAUGUAUUUAAAAUGCAAACGCAGUUCAGUGUUGCAACGAUUGGCCCCUUUUGUAUUCCCGAUCUGCUCGUUUUCGGUAAUAAUGGACGGCGUGCACGCAUAUAACACGUAAAAUAACCACUUUCACAACCAAUACUCCCGUUUUUGGUUGUGGUUAUCGUAGUUACAGCUAUACAGCUUUAAGAAUAUCUGCACAUUUAAUUCUGGGUGGUCUUCUAGCUCAGGAAAAAAAGUGGGCUAUAAUAAAUGACAGAACCUUUGAAACUUAUGCACAGCUUCGACUGAAAUUAAGUGAGAAGGUAGCACACGCCGGAGUGUAUGAUUGAUGAAGAAAAUGUAAGACUAUUGAUGCUGCCCCCAUUGAGCAGAUGUUGCCGGGAGAGACCGUGGUGCUGCAACAAGAGACAAGACGCGUCUUGGAUCACAAAUAGGAUCAGUGCGCAUGCUCCUUGCAUGCCCGUUUACUGUAUAUUCACUGUGAAAAAAGAGAACAGGCAACAAAACCAAGCUUUUUUACAGCAAAGUGACUUCUGCAAUACAAAUAACCUCUAGGGAAACAAAGAGGAAAAUCAACAGGGCUUUGGGUGUGAUGAAACAAAAGAACAAAGGAUGCCUUAGAAGAGAGACUGCUUUCAAGCCCAGACUGUAUUUUAAAGCACAUCAAUGGAUCUAUAUCUUCCCUGUGCUUCUAGAUCAUGAUACUUGAUUGAAGCUAUCUUCUUAUGAUCCCUCUAUCUAUGGCGAACUAUAGCCAUGCAGGUGACCACAACAUCUUGCAGAACGUGUCUCCUCUUGCCACUUUCCUCAAACUGACGUCCCUCGGUUUUAUCAUCGGAGUCGGCGUAGUUGGCAAUCUCCUGAUCUCUAUCCUUCUCGUCAAAGACAAAACCUUACACAGAGCACCUUAUUACUUCCUGCUGGAUCUUUGUGGCUCUGACAUACUCCGAUCUGCAAUUUGUUUCCCCUUCGUGUUCACUUCAGUGAAAAAUGGCUCGACCUGGACAUAUGGUACACUUACAUGCAAAGUAAUUGCCUUCCUAGGAGUAUUAUCUUGCUUUCACACUGCCUUUAUGUUAUUCUGCAUCAGUGUCACCCGGUACCUUGCUAUAGCCCACCAUCGGUUUUAUACAAAAAGGCUGACAUUCUGGACCUGUCUGGCUGUCAUCUGCAUGGUGUGGACUUUAUCAGUGGCUAUGGCUUUUCCUCCUGUUUUGGACGUGGGUACCUAUUCGUUUAUCAGGGAAGAAGAUCAAUGUACCUUCCAGCACCGAUCCUUCCGAGCCAAUGAUUCCCUGGGAUUUAUGCUACUCCUCGCCCUCAUCCUCCUUGCCACUCAGCUUGUCUACCUCAAGCUAAUCUUUUUCGUCCAUGACCGCAGAAAGAUGAAGCCUGUCCAGUUCGUGCCAGCCGUCAGCCAGAACUGGACAUUCCACGGUCCGGGGGCCAGUGGGCAAGCAGCGGCCAACUGGUUAGCCGGCUUUGGAAGAGGCCCAACCCCACCCACCCUGCUAGGAAUAAGGCAGAAUACCAACACAGCAGGCAGGAGGCGGCUUCUGGUGUUGGAUGAGUUUAAAACUGAAAAGAGGAUAAGCAGGAUGUUCUACAUCAUGACAUUCUUCUUUCUAACCUUGUGGGGCCCCUAUCUGGUAGCCUGCUAUUGGCGAGUCUUCGCCAGGGGGCCCGUAGUGCCAGGAGGGUACCUGACAGCUGCAGUCUGGAUGAGUUUUGCCCAGGCAGGAGUCAAUCCAUUUAUCUGCAUUUUCUCCAACAGAGAGCUGAGGCGCUGUUUCAGCACGACACUCCUCUACUGCAGAAAAUCCAGGUUACCUAGGGAACCCUACUGUGUUAUAUGAAGGAUUCUUUUUUUCUGAUUGAUCUCUGGUUUCUCCUGUUGUACAGCUCUCCUCUUCAACAGGCUGAAGUGGACUGUCAAUCAAUCUCUUCAAAAUAUGAUGAAACAACAAUUGGAGUGUUUGCAGAGCAUACGAAGAAAUGGAAAUUGAUAAGAAAUGGUGAAUCCUGGAAAACCUGUGUUUAUGUUCUAGUAAACCGUUGCUGUGGAAAUCUGUUUGAAAAAUCAACAACAAAAAAAAACAAAAGACUGAAUCCCCCUUCACUGGAUUGGUGAAGAUUAUUCUUUGAGGUAGGAGUUAUGAAUAAAAGAAGCAGAAGGUUAUCUCCAAUGAAUAAGUGAAUAUUGUUUUACAUCUUUUAAAAAAGUUGCACUAAAAGAAGAUGCUAAGAUGCUGAUUUGUUUAACAAUUGCAUUAAAAGAACUUCUCAGUUUUCUGAAAAAACAAAACAAAACAAAUGAAAAAGCAACACUUUAUUUUACAACAGAUUUUUCAUUUGUAAAGCAAAGUGUGUCCUGGGUGGCCAACAUUGUUGGAUUACACCUACACAAGAGGAGUUUGAUUUCAAUAAAGAUGACCUGGAGAAAACUCACGCAGCAGGGCAUUUUACAGGAGCAGUCUGAUCGAAGUACUUUGCUCGAGGGCACAACAGCAGCACCCUGGACUUGACCUGAGGGAAACCAGCUGCAUGAAGCUGCUUAAUAUACUUUUGUAACUACAUGUUCUAUUAUUAUGACAUUUUUGCAUUUCCCAUAUAAUGAGACACUUCUGUGCCUUCAUUCCUGUUUUCAACUGCAGGCUGAGUGCAGAGCGUUGCUAAAGGAUACAAGAGUAGUGCUCUAUCCAGAAUUUGAACCCACAACUUUACAGCCCUAACUACCACAUUAUACUGCUUCCUAGUUUCCCUUAGGUUUGAUUUUCAUUGACAUUAAGAAAUUAUUUCAGCUGCUUAUUAUCACACAGGUGAGAUUUGCAGUGACAAUAACAGCUAUUUUGGACAUGGUGUACAGAGUUGUGUAAACAAAACUGUGGGAGGAGGGCAAAUUGUAAUCUCGCACUUCCUGUCUCUUAUAUAUACAGUACAUACUCACCUGCUACAGUAUGUACUUCUUUUCACACAUUUUCUAGCAUUCUCCUCUCCCAUCUUCACCUUUGCAGCUGCCUCACUGGUUCAUUCCUCAUAAGUAAGGGGGGUUGUGACAACUCUGAUCUUACAGCCAAGGCUGUUAUUUCCUCAGCAGGGCAAGUCAACAUCAAACACUAAAGUAUUAAGUACAUUAUUCCUUAAUAUUCGUUGGGCCUUUUCAUUGCAAUUAUAAUUUGGCCAAGCUAUUUAACUACAGGCCUUUUAUGAGCAAAACACACAGAAGAACACAGUGAUCGUUUUACCAUAUUGUCCACUCAGUCUAGUAUAAAUAUCUUAUAAUAUUUCUCCUAAUAUUCCUAUGUGUUUGUCUUUAAAAAUGUUAUCUUAUUGUGGAAAAUUUAAAGUUCCAGGAGUACAAAACAAUGUAAGGGAACUGUGAACACUUCAGCAAUUGAUGUGAGGGAGUUUCUGACUUUAUAAACUUUUUAAUAAGGCCAAAUGUAACUCUAGUAUUUAUAUCUUCAAUUAUAUGAAUCAGAUACAUAUUGAAUUAAAACAAAAUAUGGUAAAAUGUCCACAUUCAGAAAUAUUUAAUUUAAGAUAAUUCAUUUUCUUACCACAAGGACACAGCAUAUUUUAAACCACUGUUGGAUUUAAAAUCAGCAGUGAGCAAUUAUACAAUAAUAAGGAUAACAGUUUGUUGCGAAAGUAAUGGAGAUAAAAGCCGAUGGAUGUUAAAAACUAUUAAUCCAGCAAAGCAAAAUAAUAUGGUAAAAUAUUGUUGCUCAGUUUGUUUACAGUGUAGGAAAAAUGGCAGACAUAAUUGAAUUGGAUUGAAUUUGUAUGAUAUAUUUAUGUCAAAUUCCCUAUAUUGUUAUAAAAUCAAAAUCUUUCAGUUGUCAUAAAUUAAGUCUUUCUCCACACAUAUAACUGUAUUCCUCUAGUGAUACUGAGCAUAUUUCACGAGGAAUAAUGACAUCUGAGAAUCAGGCGCUUUGUGAAUGUUUAUUGAGUAUCUUAUUUUUAAUUAGUUUGCUUUAAUCUGCUUGAUUAACUUUGGUUUCAAAUGUUCGGAAAUACCCUGUUCAUUUUCUUCACAGUCAUCUGUACAGGGCUGCGAACAAAAUUAAUACUGUAUAUAGGCUAAAUCCUUUCCCCCUGACUUGUCUGGAUAUCACUUCCAAUGUUUUGAACAAUCCUGUGAAUGGCCUCUUCACUCACAGAAGACUUCUGAAAUACUCCAGUUUAAAUGAAAAGAUUCACUAAAAAGCAGUGUUGCUUAUCCUUUCAUGUUUUAAAAUAACUGUCACAGUUGAAAAUAAACGUGUUAUAUCUCCCAACAAGCAUACCAGAAUAUGCAAAAGGCAAAAAGCUGUAGCAUGAAACUCAUAAAAAAUAAGAUAAUUAUCAGUCCCUUUAGGUCUCCAUAAACAAUGUGUUACUGGAUUUAUCAUCAGUCUUGCUUAUGCCUAUUAUGGAUGACUAGGGCACCAGAAUGCAAAUUCUUUGGUAGGUAGUUCUAAAACGUAGAAACACAAGAAUCAAUCAAGAGGGAAACAUUCACCCCAUAUAGCCUGCUUGGUUGCUAGUUAAUGAUUCCUAUUUUUGUGCUAGGACUGCUUCCAGCUGUUUCAUGAAAGUAGCCAUAUAAGAAGUACACUUGCUCUGUUUCAAAUGCACCUUGUGUCGAGUGAUAUUCCAGAGUUCAUUUUUCGGGUUUCAUUGCUGAUUGUAAAGAAAGUCAUUGAGUUGACUUUGUCAGUUCAUUUGAGUAUUUUCAAUACUUGAAUCGGGUCGCUUCUUGUCUUCUGUUCCAAUCUAAAAACAUUCUCUUUAAGCAUGCCAGAUGAGGACUCCAUUGAGCUUGGGAAUGUGCUUAUUUGGUCUUCGCUGGACUAAGUUCAAUGGAUCAAAAUAUUUUUGUAUUCUCAUCUCCAAAAUUAAAAAUUGUAUUUAAAUCUUAGUAGUGCAUCAUACAUCACAUCACAUCACAUCACAUCACAUCACUUUCAAUAACCGCUUAUCCAAUUCAGAACCGGAGCCUAGCCUCAGAAGCUAGUUAGCCUAUCAACAUUUCUUCGGACUAGAGCUAGCCCAUGUGAACACGGGGAAAAAAUAUAAACACCACACAGAUAGGGGCCCAGAAAUCGAACCCAGGCCCCAGUCCUGCGAGUCAGCAAUGCUUGCCACUGGGCCACUGUGCCAACCGGUUCAUUGUUCAAUUUAACAUAAUUUCGUUACAUUUAAAAUCUUACUUAAAUUUAAAUUUAAAACGUCUUAACAUUGUUUGCCUGUUAAAUGUCUUCCACACAUUGUCUGGAAGAUGUAAAUUUUGUCAACACAGAGAUUUAACCUCUAUCCAGAAGGAGACUCUUCAUAUUUCUCAUUUAACAUCUAUAGUUUAUAUUUCUGCUACCUACUGUACUUGCAACAAUCUGCACUUGAGCUCAUUCACCAAUUUUCUUUCUUGCUAAUCCUCCUACUGUAUAUUUGUAUAAUCUGUCAAUGUAAUUGGUUUACUUACUACACAGGAAUCUAGAUCACUGAUAUGAAUUAGGAAGAAUAGUGGUCCUAGCACAGAUCCCUGUGGUACUUCACUAGUUACAGCACACCAACAUGACCAUUCAUCCCUUAUCUGUGCUGUCUUUUUUGUAUCUGACUAGUUCUCAAAUUCAAAAUACAUGCAUUUGUGUGAACAUCUACUGCCAGCCAAGUUUUUUGAGGAAAUUUAUCAUAUGUCUUCUGAAAAUGUAAAUAUAUAGUACCAUAUCAUAUACUUUGUAGCCAUCACUGCUGUUGCUUGUUCAAAGUAUUAUAACAAGUUAGUUAAGAAAGGCCUAAUUUUUUUAACUCCUUUCUGGAUAAUCUUUAAAAUGCUGAACACAGAUUAUUCACUAGUUUAGUUAUAAAUAUUGUUCCAUAAUCUGAGUCGGGAUAGAAGCAAUAAUUAUUAGCUUACAUUUAUCUGAAUCAGUUAGUCACCCUUUCAUGGGUAGGCGCUGCAUUAGAAAUAUUCCAGUCUUUGACUGUUAAAAGAACAGUCUAAGAACAACGUCACUCAUUCUUAAGUACAUGUAUUAGAAUACAGUCAGGCAUCAGAUUUGUUUAUCUGGAACAUUCUUGUACCUGCAACACUUCUACAGUUUUUAAAAUAUAAUUUUGGGUUUCAUCUUGCUCAGGCUUAGGCAUGCUACUGUAUUUAGUUUUUCUUUGGGAAAAAUUGUGUGUGAAAUAGAUAUUUUAUGUAUUAGUCAUUUUCACUUCAUCUUGUAAAAGUUUACAUUUUUAUCUGUGACACCUUACUUCAUACUCUACAGUUCUUUUGCUGUUGCAAUAUAAUAUUACAGCUAAACUUUUAUAAUUAAUUUUAACCUCCCGUGCAAUAUUAAUUUAAUAUCUAUUCUUGGAUUUUCCAAUAAGGCUGCUUGCCUGUGUUUGGAAUUUGUUGUCCUUCCUGUCUGUAAUUGCAUGAUAUUUUUUUUCUAUCAUUUUAUAAAGUAUUUUCUAUCUUCUUUUAUUUUUCUUGAAGUGUUUGUUAAAUAAUUUAGGAUACAGCUUUCUAGACUUGGAACAGAAUCCCAUUGUGGUAUCUGUUCUUUGCUUCAAGCAGAAUUUCUUUAAAGUGUUGUCAUUCAUCUUCUGAUUAUUUCAUAUCAUAUUAUUUCAUUCUACUUCUCUUAAGCUCUAUUUCCUUCUUUUAUAAUCCAUACUUUCUGAACUUUUGUUCUGGACUGUACUUGUAAAAUAUCAAAAUGAUUUAAAAAUGUCCCAAAUUCUGAUCGUGAUUCCCUGAUGGUUCUCUCACCUUUGGUUCCUCACUUUAAUUUAAUUGAAAAAACUGCAUCAACACUGGCAUUCUGAAAUGUAAGAGUUUGAAUUGGAAUAUGGACGCUAUGUCUACAAUUUCAAUUUGGUUUUCAGACAUCACUAAUGGCAUUCUAAUCUGUGUUAAUAAAAUGAAAAACUCCCACAAUGUUCACUUCUUCCUUUGCACUAACUGUACCACCCUGCUUUCAUUACACUGUAUACAACUGCAAUAUGAUUCACAACUGAAUUGUUGAAUUUGGUUGUGUGUGAUUUAUACCUGAAAGCAUGUACUUUGAAAGUCCAACCCAUAUAGUUUCUAAAACACUUAAUUCAUUUAUGCUUACUUAUUUAAGAGUUCAUGCUACACCCCCUCUUCCAUUUUUCCUUACUCUUUGGAAAGAUAUGUAUCCACUAAUGUUGUAUAUCAACACUGUAUUUCAAUGUCAUUUUCUGUGAGCUACUCUGUGUUCAAGUGAUUCCCAUUACCUCGUGGAUGCUAAUGCACUAAGUACUACUUCUUAGAUUUUCUUCCUGAUCCUCCUGACAUUUAGGUUUAAACAUAAAAAUAUCUGGUUGUUUGACAUUUUGUUUUGCCCCGGUUUUCUUGUGUUGACUCUACUGCAUCCUGCUUGCAGAUUUUCUUAGGACUUUCCCUGAUUUCCAUUGUAGUGUAAAUUUUUUUGAAUUUCUUUGCAUAUCCUGUCUCAUUAAGGUGUAAUCCAUUGCACAAUGUGCUGUGUUUCUCCGUUGUUCAUCUUUGCAUGGUGUGGACAGAAUCCACAAGAAGACCACUGAUUUGGUCAUGCUGUUCAUGUAUAAAGUGUUCAGUUUAUGAAAGUGUUAUUUGUCUUCAUACGAACAGCAGUAAUUGGGUCUUCACUAGCUUUUGCUGGGAGCUUUUCUGCUCUAUACAGUAGCUUGCUGUUGUUGACUCAGAGUCCUGGACACAUAUUUCAUUUAGACUGUUUUUGAGAAUGCAGUCAGCUACAGUCACCGCUUCUCUUUGUCUUGUGCUUUUAAUGGCACCAGCACUUACUGAAGCUGUUGCAACUGUGAUUCCUUUAUUUGUAAUAGUGCUGUCCUGGGAGCUGCUCCCCUGCCAUUGAGAGUCUUGACUGUCUUUCUCCUGGUCCUAGUCUGGAGAAAACCCAUCCGGCGAUAUGAUGUUAGGUUUAAAGGGCCAUGUCAUGAUAGUCUAUUCCUUUACUUCUAUUGACAGGCUGGGACCGGAAAAUCUGGAUCUCUCUGUCAUCUCCUCUGUGUUGUUGGUCUCACCAUAUGGGGUGUGUACCUCCAUAGAUGUGGGAUAUGACAGUUCCUACAUGUUUCUGAGUUCCUGUAGCUCCAUCUUGGGUGCUUUCACUUUUUCUAAGAAGAACUGGAUUUUGUGGCAUUUUUCACAGAUGUUGUUAGGAAUUUAACAUAAUUUUCCAGAAGAAUUAAACUCUCCCUUUAUUUCUGUCUUUUGUAACUAAAGCUGUCCUCUAAA